rnacentral:rRNA from 1 species
UACCGUACUUAAACCAACACAGGUGGGUAAGCUGAGUAAGCUCAGGCCAAGGCAUACCCCCGGGGAAGGAACUCGGCAAAAUGCAUGCGUGACUUCGGAGGAAGCAUGGCCCUUUAACAAAGCAAACGGUGGUUUGCUUUGUUAAAGGGCGUCACAAAAUUGGGGGCGGCGACUGUUUACUAAAAACACAGGGCUCUGCAACGUGGCAACACUCUGUAUAGGGCCUGACGCCUGCCCGGUGCCGGGAGACAGGGGUAUUGUGGUAUCCGCCACAGCCCCGAAGAACCGGUGAACGGCGGCCGUAACCCUGACGGUCCCAAGGUGCGAAAUUCCUUGGCUGAUAAUUGCAGUCCUGCAUGAAUGGCGUCACGACUGCCCCGCUGUCUCCCCCGGGGCGCCAGCGAAUUUGGCAUUCUCGUGAAGAGGCGAGAAACCUGGCACGGGACGAUGAGACCCCGUGCACCUUCACUGCACGUCGCCAGAGCUUUUUGUUGAUGGUUGGAUCAGCAUAGGUGGGAGCAUCUCAAACUUUGUUUGGUGCGCUCGUGAGAUACCACCCCAUUCAUGGCAAAGAGCACUUCACAAAGCAUUAAAGGAAUUCCUUCUGUGCCUGUGGAGCUUGGCGGCACGGCAGUUUCUCUGGGGCGGAGGCCUCCAAAAACGUAUCGGGGGCGCGCCAAGGUUCGGGCCCACUCUUUUACAUGAGUUCGGGCAAGUGGCAACUCAUUCACCGAGCUUGACUGCGAGGGACACUCCCCAAGCAGGCACGAAAGUGGGCAGUAGCGACCCAGGACAGCUCUGUGGACGCUGUCCUGAUCGUCGGAUCAAAGGUACGCCGGGGAUAACAGGUUCAUCGGCCCCAAGAGUCCAUAUCGACGGGCUGGUUUGACACCUCGAUGUCGGCUCAUCGCGUCCUCCGGCUGCAGCAGGUCGGAAGGGUAGGACUGUUCGUCCUUGAAAGCGGUACGUGAGCUGGGUUUAAUGCGUCGCAAGACAGCGUUGGUCCUAUCUGUGCCAGGUCUAUGGACUGAGGACAGGCCCAUUAGUACGAAAGGACCUGUGGGCCCCAACCUCUGGUGAACGGGUUCUCAUACACGUGGGACAGCCCGGCAGCUAAGUUGGCAACUGGAAUAACUGAAAGCAUCUCAAGUUAGAACGGUGUUCCUAGACGAGUCUCAAUGUUCGUUUUAUGCUAAAACGUAGAUCGGCGUUUUGUAAACUUGUGCAAACAAAGGCAUGAACGUACGAAAC